GUGCUGUCUGAAAGGAGAGAAGGCUAGCACGCCCUUUGAGAAGGAUGGAAAAGGCCUUACAGCAUGCAUAUGGUUAAGGCAUUGCUACCUACUUUGUGGUGUCUAACCAUGGUUUUCA
rnacentral:ncRNA from 1 species